rnacentral:lncRNA from 1 species
CCCUCCUUUUUCAAUUUGAAAUCAAAUUCUCUUUGAAUGAGAUCUUCUAAUUCGAAUUUGUUUCUUCAAGUACCAACAAUUCAUUUAAUAUUUCAAGAGUCCAAAUGGGAAAGUAAAUAUAAAUUGGUCAACAAUAGUCAACCUUCCAUGAUUGAAUUGUUGACCAAAAGUCAACUCAAAGCCAAAUGUGAAUAUCUUUGCAAUUCUUCUUUUUUUCAAAGUCUUUU